GAUGAACGCCGGCGGCGUGCCUAAUACAUGCAAGUCGAACGCACAGCGAAAGGUGCUUGCACCUUUCAAGUGAGUGGCGAACGGGUGAGUAACACGUGGACAACCUGCCUCAAGGCUGGGGAUAACAUUUGGAAACAGAUGCUAAUACCGAAUAAAACUUAAUGUUGCAUGACAUAAAGUUAAAAGGCGCUUCGGCGUCACCUAGAGAUGGGUCCGCGGUGCAUCAGUUAGUUGGUGGGGUAAAGGCUCACCAAGACGAUGAUGCAUAGCCGAGUUGAGGGACUGAUCGGCCACAUUGGGACUGAGACACGGCCCAAACUCCUACGGGAGGCUGCAGUAGGGAAUCUUCCACAAUGGGCGAAAGCCUGAUGGAGCAACGCCGCGUGUGUGAUGAAGGCUUUCGGGUCGUAAAGCACCGUUGUAUGGGAAGAACAGCUAGAAUAGGAAAUGAUUUUAGUUUGACGGUACCAUACCAGAAAGGGACGGCUAAAUACGUGCCAGCAGCCGCCGUAA
rnacentral:rRNA from 1 species